CUCCUACGGGAGGCAGCAGUGAGGAAUAUUGGUCAAUGGGCGCGAGCCUGAACCAGCCAAGUAGCGUGGAGGACGACGGCCCUACGGGUUGUAAACUCCUUUUGCGCGGGGAUAAAGUGCGCGACUUGCUCGCGCAUUGCAGGUACCGCGCGAACAAGGACCGGCCAAUUCCGUGCCAGCAGCCGCGGUAAUACGGAAGGUCCGGGUGUUAUCCGGAUUUAUUGGGUUUAAAGGGAGCGCAGACUGCCUGUCAAGCGUGCAGUGAAACGCCGCGGCCCAACCGCGGCCCUGCUGUGCGAACUGGCGGGCUUGAGUGGGCUGCAGGCACGCGGAAUUCGUGGUGUAGCGGUGAAAUGCUCAGAUAUCACGAGGAACCCCGAUUGCGAAGGCAGCGUGCCGCGUCCCUACUGACGUUGAGGCUCGAAGGUGCGGGUAUCGAACAGGAUUAGAUACCCUGGUAGUCCGCACGGUAAACGAUGGAUGCCCGCUCUCGGCGACACACAGCCGGGGGCCAAGCGAAAGCGUUAAGCAUCCC
rnacentral:rRNA from 1 species